UACGGAGGGUGCGAGCGUUAAUCGGAAUUACUGGGCGUAAAGGGUGCGCAGGUGGCUGGAUAAGUUAUAUGUAAAAGCCCCGGGCUCAACCUGGGAAGGCCAUAUAAUACUGUUUGGCUGGAGUAUGAGAGAGGGCAGUGGAAUUUCCGGUGUAGCGGUGAAAUGCGUAGAGAUCGGAAGGAACACCAGUGGCGAAGGCGGCUGUCUGGCUCAAUACUGACACUGAGGCACGAAAGCGUGGGGAGCAAACAGG
rnacentral:rRNA from 1 species